rnacentral:rRNA from 1 species
GCAAGGGGGACAUCCCGAGCAGAUGCGAAAGCAGAGCAUAGUGAACCGAUGGUACGCCUUAGAUGCGGCCAGAGAUUAACGGAUAUAAGUUACCCUGGGGAUAACAGGCUAGUUCCGCCCAAGCGUCCUUAGCGACGGCGGAGUUCGGCACCUCGAUGUCGGCUCAACAUAGCGCGGGGGUGGAGAAGCUCCCAAGCGUAUGGCUGUUCGCCAUUUAAAAUGUUACGCGAGCUGGGUUCAAACCGUUCAGCGAUUGAACGGAACCGUUCGAUAAUUGAACGGUUUGAACCCACGAGGAAUUGUUAGGUGCGUGGAGACGCACUGUGCGAAGACAUACUUACGGCGGUCGCGCGCAGGAAUGCGUGCGAAGAAAUCAACUUAUAUCGGUAGAACCCGAGCUCGUUGUGUACGAGCGGGCAAUACCGAGGGAAGUCAAAAUUGUAAUCUUCAUCAAGACGAUGUGUCUUGAUGGAAAAGGAGGAAAAUAUGCAGGCAUCUCUGUAUGCUUCGUACUACCUCUCGAAAUAUGGUGUGCCGCAAGACCCGAACUGGAUGGUGGCGUUUUUGAUCAUCAACCUUUUCCUGCUAUUGCCGUAUAUCUACUUCGCGAGCGAGUUCAUUCGGUCGCUGUUCAAGCGAUGACAACCUCAAGGCCUUUGUAGCCUUGGGGGUCUUGAUGAAGAUUACAAUUGAGACACCCGUAGAGACUGAAUGUUGAUCAUCGAGAACCGAUGAAGUUACAGUCCGAUCCCCGCAGUAAUGCGGGAAAACCCAGACACUCACUGUGAGUAUCUGGGUAAACUAGAUGCGUGAGACAGGUUGGUCUCCUAUCUACUACAGGCGUUGAUUCUUGAGGAGGGUCGUCCCUAGUACGAGAGGACCGGGAUGAACUGACCUCUGGUCUACCAGCUGUCCUGCCAAGGGCACCGCUGGGUAGCUAUGUCGGGUCGUGAUAACCGCUGAAAGCAUAUAAGCGGGAAACAUGCUCCAAGAUUAGGAAUCG